rnacentral:rRNA from 1 species
UACGGAGGAUGCAAGCGUUAUCCGGAUUCAUUGGGUUUAAAGGGUGCGUAGGCGGACUAUUAAGUCAGUGGUGAAAGCCUGCAGCUUAACUGCAGAACUGCCGUUGAUACUGAUAGUCUUGAGUUUGGUUAAGGUAGGCGGAAUGUGUAAUGUAGCGGUGAAAUGCUUAGAUAUUACACAGAACACCAAUUGCGUAGGCAGCUUACUGAGCCGACACUGACGCUGAGGCACGAAAGCGUGGGGAUCAAACAGGA